GUUACUUUGGUGAUCCUCUGACUUUUCCUUUAGUGCCACCAUUAGGUUGACAUUUGAGGUUUGACAGUGUAAU